rnacentral:lncRNA from 1 species
UUCUCUUAUCUGCUUUAGAUUAUUAUAAGGUAAUAGUCUUUGUGGAGAAACAGAUGUUUGAAAUCACUGUUGGGUUAAAACGGUGGUUUGACUUUGGUCAAACAGACUUUUGAACCACUAAAAGAGUGGUUUAUUUUUUAAACAGAGUGGUUUACUCUUUAAAACAGAUUACAGAUGCAGUAAUAGUGGCAAGAUACCUAAAGGCAACACUUGUGAUUCCAGGCAGGGGAAGCGAACCUGGUGAUUAGAGGCUAUUACAGGAGUGCAAAAGGGGAAGAUAGGAAGUUGGUUGUCUGCGGAUAAGAAAGCUCCAAGUCAUUCUGAUUCCAAAGAGAAGAAAGACAAGGUAUGAAAAAGAGAAUUUCACUGGAAGUGUCUUCAGGUAAAAUGGAUGAUUUUGAUGGGGACGUAUGCCCUAUCAACUGCUCACUAUGUUAAACAUGAUGGUUUGAUGAUUUAGGUGGUGGUCAACUGGACGACUUGGGUAGUCAAAAAAUGAAGGACAUCUGCGGUAAAGGUUGAUUCUUUGUCUUAUACAUGUAGUUUAUUUUUUUGUUUAGCGGCUAUAGCCUUUGUA